UACAGAGGUCCCAAGCGUUGUUCGGAUUCACUGGGCGUAAAGGGUGCGUAGGUGGUGAGGUAAGUCGGAUGUGAAAGCUCGGAGCUCAACUCCGAAAUGGCAUUGGAAACUACCUUGCUCGAGGGUUGGAGGGGGGACUGGAAUGCUUGGUGUAGCAGUGAAAUGCGUAGAUAUCAAGCGGAACACCGGUGGCGAAGGCGGCAUCCUGGACCAACACUGACACUGAGGAGCGAAAGCCAGGGGAGCAAACGGG
rnacentral:rRNA from 1 species